rnacentral:snoRNA from 1 species
CCUUUGCUGUGAUGAAUCACAAGGCCGACCGGUAUCUGAGUAAGUAGCCUCUUGAAAAGGACUCCUUCCUUGAUUGUACACCCUAAACUGAUUAUAUAUUAUUCUGAGCAGACA